GGAGGUAAGGCUUUAAUAAAUGAAUGGGAGGUACAAUGCAAUCCACAACAGGUGCUGAUGUGAAAUAUUAUUUAAGAACUCUUUAAUAGUCCUGAUCUAUCACUAAUAUAACUUACAUGCUGAUAUCUGAACAUUUUUAAAAACUUUCUGAAAGCAUGAGCACCCAUGGCUCUUGUACCUAUCAUCUGAGUAUCCUGGAAGGAUCUCCUUUUUAAAAUGGAGCCAACUCUUUCCUUCCCUUAAAAAUGCUACUGAUCACACCUGCUUUAUGCCAGACAUUGUCCUGAUUAAGGGUCCACAAGAAUUAAUAAGCAGGCAGAGCACUGUUUUCAGGGAGUAUCCAGUCUAGAAGAGGAAGCAGGAAAGUCCACAGAGAAGGACUAUACAGGGUUUUCUCUGCUGUAACAAAAAGAAACUUGAAACUCUAUUGGAGCAUAGAAGGGCAGCCAACAUGGACUCAUGGUGAGAGCUUGUUGCUAAGUCCCAGGAACCUUACUGAAACACAACCUUAAUGAGCAUGGAAAGCUGACUUUGUGGCCCACAAUGAAUCAAGAGAAGACAACCAGAGAUGCAGCUCAAUGAUUUCAUCUAUAAAUGGAGAUCAUAUUUCCUGCCUCAUGAGCUGGCCACCAGAAUUAAAUGAGAUAGUUUUGUAAAGGAGAAGUGCCUGGUACAGGGCCUGGCAUAUAGCAGCUAGUGAGUAAAUGCCUGGUGUCUUUCAGUUGUCAUCAUAUUGUCACAGCUACUAUUAGCCCUAUUUCCAGGGCUACUCUUGUUGCUGCAUCUGAAGUCCU